AAUGACGUUCCUCUUCUGAGCCUGACUGUGAGAGAGUUCAUUCCUUCACAUUCCUGUAUAUAAAUCAGUGCAAACUUGGAUCACACUCUGCACAGGGAUCCACCAUUGCAGAGCCUUGUGCUGGAGGUAGCACUGCUGAUCUGCUGGUCAUGUGAAUUGACCUUGAGAUGCAGCACCAGAAUGAGUGACCUUGAGAUGCAGCCAAAUCAGAAAAAAGAGAAAAUCACAAUGUGACUGUAUCAGAUGAAGAUGUCCCAGUCUGCAUUAAUCCUGCUCUAGUUACCUGGAAACUGUCUAUCCAGUUGUAUGUGAAAACCUGGAGCACGUGUCACUGAGCCAAAUUCCAUCAUCUGCCAGUUGGUGUGGAAAAGGGGCCCUUUCUGUCCUUGGGGGCUUGUGUCUCCUGAAGUUCAGCCUUCAGCAGCUACUUGGGAACUUCUGCCACAACUGAGAGCACUGUCUGCUCAGGCAAAMCACUUUGCUUGGCCAGCAAUUUUCUAG
rnacentral:lncRNA from 1 species